rnacentral:rRNA from 1 species
UACGUAGGGACCGAGCGUUGUCCGGAAUCAUUGGGCGUAAAGAGCGUGUAGGCGGCUUGCUAAGUCUUGCGUGAAAUCUCGGGGCUCAACCCCGAGCGGUCGUGGGAAACUGGCAGGCUAGAGUGCGGGAGAGGAGAAUGGAAUUCCUGGUGUAGCGGUGAAAUGCGCAGAUAUCAGGAGGAACACCAAUGGCGAAGGCAGCUCGCUGGAACGGUACUGACGCUGAGGAGCGAAAGCGUGGGGAGCGAACAGG